UUGUUCUUCUGUUUUUGACUUUUGUCAAAAUCCCUAAACCCCUUUUCUAUUCGCUUCAUUUAUCCUCUCUACUUCAUCGCUAAUAUCUUCUCCGAUUGCUUCUUUCAUUGAUGUUGCAUUUCAAAUUUAGUAUCAGAGCUACAGUGAAUUGUGUUUGUUAUCAUCCCAGCCUCGUCGUUCGUGUCGAUGCUCCUUCAUUUUUCGUUCGUGACUUCUCAAUCGUAUCUUGCUCGUCAAUUGCUGUUACAUUUGGUCCACACUAUUCGAGUUUUCACAUUCAUCUCCUCUUAGUUGCUGCUGUGUUAAGCUUUGCUUCCUGCCUUAUUUUUGUUCUCCGAUUUUCCUCGGUGAUAUCGUUCUUGAUUUCUUCAGAUCUAUUGGGACAUAGGCUUUACCUUAUCAUGUUGUUCAUGCUGCACCACAAUCAUUGUAUUCUCAACAGACAACGCCUAUAUUGUAGCCUCAGAUAACCUCUCAGACCCUCAUAGCCACUCCAGAAAUAGUAGAUCACAACGUCUGGUAUCCUGACUCAGGUGCCACCCACCAUCUCACCAAGGACUUCAACAAUCUUCAAGUGGGCAGUGCUCAAACUGGUUCAGACAGGUUGAACGUUUGUUUGAUGUCAGGCUUAAGGUGCUUCAAAUGGAUGGAGGCGUUGAGUUUAGUGCUCUUCAGACAUUUUUAAAAGAGCAAGGGAUAACAUAUUUUCUGCCAUGCCUACACACAUCAGAGCAAAAUGGCUUAGUGAAUAGGAAACAUCGUUAAAUUGUAAAAUUUGGGCUGUCCAUGCUUGCUCAAUGUAAU